rnacentral:rRNA from 1 species
AACGAACGCUGGCGGCAGGCCUAACACAUGCAAGUCGAGCGGUAGCACAGAGAGCUUGCUCUCGGGUGACGAGCGGCGGACGGGUGAGUAAUGUCUGGGAAACUGCCUGAUGGAGGGGGAUAACUACUGGAAACGGUAGCUAAUACCGCAUAACGUCGCAAGACCAAAGUGGGGGACCUUCGGGCCUCAUGCCAUCAGCUGGGCCCAGAUGGGAUUAGGUAGUAGGUGGGGUAACGGCUCACCUAGGCGACGAUCCCUAGCUGGUCUGAGAGGAUGACCAGCCACACUGGAACUGAGACACGGUCCAGACUCCUACGGGAGGCAGCAGUGGGGAAUAUUGCACAAUGGGCGCAAGCCUGAUGCAGCCAUGCCGCGUGUGUGAAGAAGGCCUUCGGGUUGUAAAGCACUUUCAGCGGGGAGGAAGGCGGUGAGGUUAAUAACCUCACCGAUUGACGUUACCCGCAGAAGAAGCACCGGCUAACUCCGUGCCAGCCGCCGCGGUAAGAC